UACGUAGGUGGCAAGCGUUAUCCGGAUUUAUUGGGCGUAAAGCGAGCGCAGGCGGUUUGAUAAGUCUGAUGUGAAAGCCUUUGGCUUAACCAAAGAAGUGCAUCGGAAACUGUCAGACUUGAGUGCAGAAGAGGACAGUGGAACUCCAUGUGUAGCGGUGGAAUGCGUAGAUAUAUGGAAGAACACCAGUGGCGAAGGCGGCUGUCUGGUCUGCAACUGACGCUGAGGCUCGAAAGCAUGGGUAGCGAACAGG
rnacentral:rRNA from 3 species